rnacentral:Y_RNA from 1 species
GGUUGGUCCAAGUGCAGUGGUGUUUACAACUAAUUGAUCACAUCCAGUUACAGAUUCCUUUGUUCCUUCUCCACUCCCACUGCUUCACUUGACCAGCCUUUA